UCCUUGCGCCACGUCAGUCACCAACUCGCCGGCGUCCUCGUCACUCCCACGCGCCGCUGGAGAACCUCGCGUCUUGGGGCCACAUUCUGGAACACUUCUGUGCUGCACCUCCUCUGUUUUCAAAAGGCCGUAGUUGAGGUGACACGGGUUUUAAGAGUGUUUUCAUGGUUCUAGUGACAGAUUAACACUAUUUCUACAUUAUUAUCAAGAGAAACACUCUUGAGAACUCGGCUAAUCUCUGUGGCCUUUGAAAAUAGUCGUGGUGAAAGAGCAAAGUGUUUUUUUAAUAAUGGCCUGAUUAACUUGCCAGCGACCACGAAUUCAGCUGGGAGGGCUUGUGAACGUGUUUCCUGGUGUCUUCGCGGUGACAGGAGGUGCAGGCGUGCCAGCUGCUGCCGCAAACUCUCAUUCUCCUUCAUGAUCUCUUCAUUGAGGGAGUACUGGCGGUGCAACUUCUCCAUCAAUUCCUACAAAACCAAAGUGCAUCAAUCUGCUGUUCAUGUCAUCCUGGAACUCCUCCAAGACGUCCACCAUACAGCUGCGAAUCAAGUCCAUUUGCAGCUGUGGGACUCCAUGGCUGACAGCAGGGAUGUCUGAAAUAAGAGGCAGUGUUGUAUUUAGUGGCACUGAAGGCUGACCUAGAGAGAUGGUCUGUGGUGCGGACGGGAGAAAGCAGACUUUGGAGGAAGGCACUUUCCACUGGGACGUCAAUCUUGAAGUCAGGGAUGUUAAGACCAUCUCCCUCAGAAACCUGUGGAAAAGAGAAAGUAUUUUGAGCACAAAUGAAGCUCUUAUUACUGAUAUAAGCUGCAACAUAUUCCUACCAAUUAAAAUCACAACAGAUGUUUAAGUGAAUACAGGAGCCACUGAAGAAUUGUAUUAUGUUUAUUAGGAAGGUAGUCACAGUGUCACUUAAUACAUUUAAUACAUCUCAACACUCACUUGUUAUAGCUCUUCUGUUGAAACUUUGGAAUUCUACCAAUUUUAACUGUACAUCUAUCAACCAGGCCAGCAAUCCCACAAGGGUGGCCCAAAGCACCACUCAUGUCUUGUGGACCAGUCAUGGUAAAAAGGUGUGUGAAAGAAAAUAGCAUUAAAGUACCUACCUGUAUCUGGCUGGGCAGAUUUGUGUCCCUGACUGGUGAAAACACACUUAGAUCAAAGUCAGUAGUUUCAGGCACAGGCUGUGGCUUGGCUUCCAGCUCAGGACUCAUUGCAGUGGGGUUGUCAGAACAAGACCUGCAUACAAAAGACAAUGGGAGACUUACUUCACAGGCCGCUGAGAGGUGACAGCCAGGGAGCACGCUGCGCCGCUCCUCUGCCCGGUCUUGCUGCUGCUAACACUCUGAACAUUGGGAGCUUGUUAAUUCUAAAAUAUUAUGUCCAAUUUCUAAAGAUAUACUUGCUUUGUAAAUUCAAAUAAAAACAAUCAUGUCUUCCACUGACC